GAGGACAUUACCGAGUUAUACACUCAUCAACCCUGUGAACAUACCUAAACGUUGCUUCGGCGGGAACAGACGGCCCCGUAACACGGGCCGCCCCCGCCAGAGGACCCCCUAACUCUGUUUCUAUAAUGUUUCUUCUGAGUAAAACAAGCAAAUAAAUUAAAACUUUCAACAACGGAUCUCUUGGCUCUGGCAUCGAUGAAGAACGCAGCGAAAUGCGAUAAGUAAUGUGAAUUGCAGAAUUCAGUGAAUCAUCGAAUCUUUGAACGCACAUUGCGCCCGCCAGUAUUCUGGCGGGCAUGCCUGUUCGAGCGUCAUUACAACCCUCAGGCCCCCGGGCCUGGCGUUGGGGAUCGGCGGAGCCCCCCGCGGGCACACGCCGUCCCCCAAAUACAGUGGCGGUCCCGCCGCAGCUUCCAUUGCGUAGUAGCUAACACCUCGCAACUGGAGAGCGGCGCGGCCACGCCGUAAAACCCCCAACUUCUGAACGUUGACCUCGAAUCAGGUAGGAAUACCCGCUGAACUUAAGCAUAUCAAUUAAACGAGAGGAA
rnacentral:rRNA from 1 species